AUUGAACGCUGGCGGCAGGCCUAACACCUGCAAGUCGAGCGCGCGGCGGACGGGUGCGUAAUGUCUGGGAAACUGCCUGAUGGAGGGGGAUCACUACUGGAAACGGUAGCUACUACCGCAUACCAUCAGAUGUUGCCAGAUGGUAUUAGCUAGUAGGUGGGUUAACGGCUCACCUAGGCGACGAUCCCUAGCUGGUCUGAGAGGCUGACCAGCCAAACUGGAACUGAGACACGGUCCAGACUCCUACGGAAGGCAGCAGUGGGGAAUAUUGCGCAAUGGGCGCAAGUCUGAUGCAGCCAUGCCGCGUGUGUGAAGAGGGCCUUCGGGUUGUAAAGCACUUUCAGAGGGGAGGCGUUACCCGAAGAAGAAGCACCGGCUAACUCCGUGCCAGCCGCCGCGGUAAUUC
rnacentral:rRNA from 1 species